GCGCCCCAUAGAUCUCUAGGGGGUCCCUAUGGGGUGUCUGUGGGGUCCCUAGGGGUCAAUAUGGGAUCUAUGGGGCUCUAUGGGGUCCCUGUGGGUCAAUAUGGGAUCUAUGGGGCUCUAUGGGGUCCCUGUGGGUCAAUAUGGGAUCUAUGGGGCUCUAUGGGGUCCCUGUGGGUCAGUAUGGGAUCUAUGGGGCUCAAUAGGGUCCCUAUGGGGUCCCUAUGUGUCAAUAUGGGAUCUAUGGGGCUCUAUGGGGUCUCUGUGGGUCAAUAUUGGAUCUAUGGGGUCCCUAUGUGUCAAUAUGGGAUCUGUGAGGCUCUAUGGGGUCCCUAUGGGUCAACAUGGGAUCUGUGGGGCUCUAUGGGGUCCCUGUGGGUCCCUAUGGGUCUCUAUGGGAUCUCUAUGGGUCUCUAUGGGAUCUGUGGGGUCCCUAUGGGUCCCUAUGGGUCUCUGCGUGCCUCUGGAUCCCUUUGGGGUCCCUAUGGGGUCCUUAUGGGGUUUCUAUGGGGUGCCCCCAGGUCGUCAGGGAGACGUCGGACCAGGUGUCGUCUGUGGGUCCCUAUGGGGUCCCUAUGGGGUCCCUAUGGGGUCCCUAUGGGUUCCUAUGGGUCUCUGCGUCCCUAUGGGUCCCUUUGGGGUCUUUAUGGGAUCCUUAUGGGGUUUCUAUGGGGUGCCCCAGGUCCUCAGGGUGGCAUCAGACCAGGUGUCGUCUGUGGGCC